UGAAAAAAUUAGAGUGUUCAAAGCAGGCUNACGCCCGAAUACAUUAGCAUGGAAUAAUAAAAUAGGACGUGCGGNUCUAUUUUGUUGGUUUCUAGGAUCGCCGUAAUGAUUAAUAGGGAUAGUUGGGGGCAUUCGUAUUCAAUUGCUAGAGGNGAAAUUCUUGGAUUUAUNGAAGACGAACUNCUGCGAAAGCAUUUGCCAAGGANGUUUUCAUUGAUCAAGAACGAAGGUUAGGGGAUCGAAAACGAUCAGAUACCGUNGUAGUCUUAACAGUAAACGAUGCCGACUAGGGAUCGGACGAGGAUUUUUAAUGACUCNUUCGNCNCCUGAAGAGAAAUCUUUAAGUCUAGGUUCGGGGGGGAGUAUGGUCGCAAGGCUGAAACUUAAAGGAAUUGACGGAAGGGCACCNCCNGGUGUGGAGCCUGCGGCUUAAUUUGACUCANCACGGGGAAACUCNCCAGGUCCNGNCNCGACAAGGAUUGACAGAUUGAUAGCUCUUUCUUGAUUUCGUGGUCGGUGGUGCAUGGCCGUUCUUAGUUGGUGGAGUGAUUUGUCUGGUUAAUUCCGAUAACGANCGAGNCCUUAACCUGCUAAAUAGCCCGGCCGGC
rnacentral:rRNA from 1 species